rnacentral:rRNA from 1 species
AUUGAACGCUGGCGGCAGGCUUAACACAUGCAAGUCGAACGGGGGGAUGGUGCUUGCACUAUCACUUAGCGGCGGACGGGCGAGUAAUGCAUAGGAAUCUGCCUAUUAGAGGGGGACAACAUCUCGAAAGGGACGCUAAUAACACAUACGUCCUACGGGAGAAAGCAGGGGAUCACCUGUGACUCUGCGCGAAUAGAUGUGCCUAAGUCGGAUUAGCUAGUUGGUGGGGUAAAGGCCUACCACGGCGACGAUCUGUAGCGGGUCUGAGAGGAUGAACCGCCACACUGGGACUGAGACACGGCCCAGACUCCUACGGGAGGCAGCAGUGGGGAAUAUUGGACAAUGGGGGGAACCCUGAUCCAGCCAUGCCGCGUGUGUGAAGAAGGCCUUAUGGUUGUAAAGCACUUUAAGCGAGGAGGAGGCUCUUUUGGUUAAUACCCAGAAUGAGUGGACGUUACUCGCAGAAUAAGCACCGGCUAACUCUGUGCCAGCCGCCGCGGUAAAAC